UAGCAAUACUUAGUGGCAGACGGGUGAGUAACAUGUAGGUAUCUGCCCUUUGGCCUGGAAUAACACGAGGAAACUUGUGCUAAUACCGGAUAAGUCUUUACGGAGAAAGCUUUAUGCACCAUUGGAUGAGCCUGCACUUGAUUAGUUUGUUGGUGGGGUAAUGGCCUACCAAGACUGUGAUCAAUAGCUGAUUUGAGAGGAUGAUCAGCCACAUUGGGACUGAGACACGGCCCAAACUCCUACGGGAGGCAGCAGUGGGGAAUCUUGCACAAUGGAGGAAACUCUGAUGCAGCGAUGCCGCGUGAGUGAAGAAGGCCCUUGGGUUGUAAAGCUCUUUCGUCGGGGAAGAAAAUGACUGUACCCGAAUAAGAAGGUCCGGCUAACUUCGUGCCAGCAGCCGCGGUAAUACGAAGGGACCUAGCGUAGUUCGGAAUUACUGGGCUUAAAGAGUUCGUAGGUGGUUGAAAAAGUUAGUGGUGAAAUCCCAGAGCUUAACUCUGGAACUGCCAUUAAAACUUUUCAGCUAGAGUAUGAUAGAGGAAAGCAGAAUUUCUAGUGUAGAGGUGAAAUUCGUAGAUAUUAGAAAGAAUACCAAUUGCGAAGGCAGCUUUCUGGAUCAUUACUGACACUGAGGAACGAAAGCAUGGGUAGCGAAGAGGAUUAGAUACCCUCGUAGUCCAUGCCGUAAACGAUGUGUGUUAGACGUUGGAAAUUUAUUUUCAGUGUCGCAGGGAAACCGAUAAACACACCGGCUGAGGAGUACGACCGCAAGGUUAAAACUCAGAGGAAUUGACUG
rnacentral:rRNA from 1 species